rnacentral:rRNA from 1 species
UACAGAGGAUGCAAGCAUUAUCUGGAAUGAUUGGGCGUAAAGCGUCUGUAGGUGGCUUUUUAAGUCCGCAGUCAAAUCCCAGGGCUCAACUCUGGGCAGGCGGUGGAAACUACUAAGCUGGAGUACGGUAGGGGCAGAGGGAAUUUCCGGUGGAGCGGUGAAAUACGUAGAGAUCGGAAAGAACACCAACGGCGAAAGCACUCUGCUGGGCUGACACUAACACUGAGAGACGAAAGCUAGGGGAGCGAAUGAG